rnacentral:rRNA from 1 species
GAUGAACGCUGGCGGCGUGCCUAACACAUGCAAGUCGGACGAGAACCAUCCUUGCUUGCAGGGAUGUAGUAAAGUGGCGCACGGGUGAGUAACACGUGAGUGACCUACCUUAGGGAUGGGGAUAACAAGCCGAAAGGUUUGCUAAUACCUGAUGAUGCAUCAUUUUUUAAUGGGAUGGUGUGAAAGAGGGCCUCUCUAUAGAAGCUCUUGCCUUGAGAUGGGCUCGCGGGCCAUUAGCUUGUUGGUAGGGUAACGGCCUACCAAGGUUGAGAUGGAUAGCUGGUCUGAGAGGAUGGUCAGCCACACUUGACCUGAGAUACGGUCCAGACUCCUACGGGGGGCAGCAGUGAGGAAUGUUGCGCAAUGGAGGCAACCCUGACGCAGCAACGCCGCGUGGGUGAAGAAGGCUUUCGGGUUGUAAAGCCCUGUCAAGCGGGAAGAAUUACCUUAGAGUGAAUAAUUCUAGGGUGUGACGGUACCGCUGAAGGAAGCACCGGCUAACUCCGUGCCAGCCGCCGCUGUAAGAC